rnacentral:rRNA from 1 species
UACGUAGGGUCCGAGCGUUGUCCGGAAUUAUUGGGCGUAAAGGGCUCGUAGGCGGUUCGUCACGUCGGGAGUGAAAACUUGGGGCUUAACCCUGAGCUUGCGGUCGAUACGGGCAUGACUGGAGUUCGGCAGGGGAGACUGGAAUUCCUGGUGUAGCGGUGAAAUGCGCAGAUAUCAGGAGGAACACCGGUGGCGAAGGCGGGUCUCUGGGCCGAUACUGACGCUGAGGAGCGAAAGCGUGGGGAGCGAACAGG